UUAAAUGUGCAAUGCAGCGAAACGCCAAACUUUUGCACACGUUUUCUUUUCUGAACGAAAGUCAAUGGGACGAAAAGUGGUAUCGACUGGGAGAAUCUCCUCUCCACCGCACGCUACACGAUGAUUAUAAAGAAGAGAAGAAAUACGCCCGAAUCAACGCUGCAAAUGAGCGAUUAAGCGAUGCGGCUACUGCCAUGAGCACACGAAGCCAUGUGCGAUGAGUGUCUACUAGAGGCAACUCACGGAUUCGAUGGAAGAAGAAGAGUCCGCCGCUCCUGUGUUGUGCUGUUUGAACUCUCAAUCUGGUGGCACCCAUUCACUGCAGAGGAUCCAUUGGAGGGCAAGUGAUAUAAUGCUAAAUUUCUACAAAUCUGUUGUGUUGAAGAGACAAGCUCAUCUACAAUCUGGACAGAUUGCAAGAGAGUGUUGGGAGCACAGAUGAGCUCUCCGCAUACACAGGAAACGGACUGGGCGCGUAUGCACGUGAUGACAUCAUGACACCCGCACGUCACACAACGAAACUUUAGUGAUGACUUGAAUCCAUUUUAUGGAGCUCAAAAUAAUUAAUUUAGACCAAGUUGCUUUUUGAGCAUUCAUCUCCAAUGGGUCUUUAUUUUGGACUGUUUCCGUUGGUUCUCUGACACUCUGGCACUGUAUUCCACUGAUUCAGUGUUCUGCUUUGAUGCCUUACAUACUGAUGUAUUUUUGUCUGUAUUGAACCGUAUUUAAAAUGGAGCUGAGUUAUUGUAAAGUUUAGGUAAUAAAAGUGUCCUAUUAUUAAUGUUUCUGAAGAACUGAUCUAAAGAUGAAUGGAUUUAAUGUUAAAGCAUGCAGAAAUCAGAUUCAGAGAUUCAGAGCCCUUAUAAAGCUUGACUGUAGGCUGAUAUGAUUUUUUUUUUUUUUUUGUAAAAUAUCAUUUGCUUGCUGAUGAUUCAUAUAUAAUUGCACUAGCCUAAGAUCAGUUUUCUUCUACCUUGC